AGCGAACGCUGGCGGCAGGCCUAACACAUGCAAGUCGAGCGCCUGUAGCAAUACAGGAGCGGCAGACGGGAGAGUAACACGUGGGAACGUACCUUUCAGUUCGGAACAACCAAGGGAAACUUUGGCUAAUACCGGAUACGCCCGUAAGGGGAAAGAUUUAUCGCUGAAAGAUCGGCCCGCGUCUGAUUAGCUAGUUGGUGGGGUAAUGGCCCACCAAGGCUACGAUCAGUAGCUGGUCUGAGAGGAUGAUCAGCCUCACUGGGACUGAGACACGGCCCAGACUCCUACGGGAGGCAG
rnacentral:rRNA from 1 species